CCUACGGGAGGCAGCAGUGGGGAAUAUUGCGCAAUGGGCGAAAGCCUGACGCAGCGACGCCGCGUGAGGGAUGAAGGUCUUCGGAUCGUAAACCUCUGUCGGCAGGGAAGAACGGUCACUGUGCUAAUCAGCAGUGAAUUGACGGUACCUGCAAAGGAAGCACCGGCUAACUCCGUGCCAGCAGCCGCGGUAAUACGGAGGGUGCGAGCGUUAAUCGGAAUUACUGGGCGUAAAGCGCUCGUAGGCGGUAUGUCAAGUCAAGGGUGAAAUCCCCGCGCUCAACGUGGGAACUGCCUUUGAAACUGGAAAACUGGAGGGUGUGAGAGGAUAGUGGAAUUCCAGGUGUAGGAGUGAAAGCCGUAGAUAUCUGGAGGAACAUCAGUGGCGAAGGCGACUAUCUGGCACAUAACUGACGCUGAGGAGCGAAAGCGUGGGUAGCAAACAGGAUUAGAUACCCUAGUAGUC
rnacentral:rRNA from 1 species